rfam:Schistosoma haematobium scaffold1310_43, whole genome shotgun sequence.
AUCCAGAUGACGGGUCCCAAAUAGGACGAAGUGAGGCGCGUCCUGGAU